GUUAUUCUUGGAGGUUUUCCUUUCUCCCGGUUGUCAGGCAAUGGCGGGCCUGGCCAUCGGUUCUGGAAACAUUCAGGUGAACUGCGCACUGGUGCCGAAAAGUUGAUCUGAUGUGAUCGUUAGCCGUACAGUGAUUGUGUACAGGUAACUUUAGUCUUCUGUGCAAGAGAAUUAAGACAAAGUGGUGAAAUCUACCAUGACUAAGGUGUGCCAACCACCAGACACCCAUUAAGUUUUCUCAAAGCACCAUCAAUUUGUACAACUUCACAAUGUUGUUCGAAAUAUGAUUCCAUAGGUGCUAAUUACGCAGUUACAUAAGAUUCUUGACAGUGCCUGUCAAGCAUUCCAGGAGACAUUACAGUUACUCAACUACUGGAGUUGGAAAUGGUAUCCAAAUCCUGUGCUUCCUUUUGUUCCCGUUCAUUGGUGUAUACACUGGUGUUGGGUGCACUGUUCAUCGUACUUGGCUGCAGUCGGAUUCUUCUAAUGAAGUUUUCUGCUAAUGAAGAGAAUAAAUAUAACUAUCUACCAGCCACAGUGAAUGUAUGUGCAGAGACUGUAAAACUAGUGUUUUGUGGUAUUCUAGCAAUAAGGGUUCUGAUCCAAGAGGGACAGACAUGCAGGGAUUUGGAAUAUUCUUCCUGGUGGAGCUUUUUUCGAUUUAUGAGAUGGUCUGUUCCAGCAUUUCUCUAUUUUGUGGAUAAUUUAAUUGCCUUCUAUGUGCUCGUCUACCUCCAACCAGCAAUGGUGGUCUUGUUGUCAAAUUUCGUUAUUGUCACUACAGCUCUUCUGUUCAGGAUUGUUUUAAAGCGGCGCCUGUCCUCAGUGCAGUGGGCAUCACUCGUGAUUUUAUUCCUUUCCAUUGUAGCUUUCGUAGCUGGGACUGGAGUAACCCAAAAUGUGACAAGGCACACGUUUAAUCGCAGCAUACUCUCCAAUGCUUCCAAAAGCUGCACUCCAUUCAUAACGUCUCAGGAUAAAAAUUCACACCAGAUGAAGAUCAAUUCCACAAUGAUUUCAUUACCAGCUUGGAAAUGGGACAUAAGUUCUUUUAAAAGCCUUAACAUUGGUUUUGGCCAUCUCUUUAUAAUUAUACAGUGUUUUAUUGCUUCCAUGGCUAACAUUUAUAAUGAAAAAAUGCUGAAAGAAGGAGAUCAGCUGACUGAAAGUAUUUUUAUUCAAAAUAGUAAGCUGUACUUUUUUGGAGUUAUAUUCAAUGGUCUGAUAUUACUACUUCGAUCUGAAUCCCGCACCCACAUCCAAAACUGUGGGUUUUUCUAUGGACACAAUAUAUUUUCCGUGGCUUUAAUUUUUAUUACUGCCGCCUUUGGACUGUCCGUGGCUUUUAUUCUGAAAUUCAGAGACAACAUGUUUCAUGUCCUCACUGCCCAAAUAAUAACCGUUAUCAUUACUGCAGUAUCUGUCUUUAUAUUUGAUUUUAAACCUACGUUGAGCUUCUUAUUAGAAGUCCCUGUGGUAUUCCUGGCAAUAUUUAUUUACAAUGCCAGCAGGAUAACUGACCCUGCGUAUGUGCUGCAGCGAGAGAGACUCAAAGUUAUAAAUGGUGAACUUUUGGAACGUUCCAGUGGGGAUGGUGAGGAGUUGGAGAGAUUGACCAAACCAAACACAGAUUCUGAAACGGAAGAAGAUUCCUUCUAGAAGGUUUUGUUUUAAGGUUUAACUUCACAAAUGAAUCCUUUUCAUAGAAUGUGAAUUAGUACUUAAUUUCAUUGAUGCAUUGUUUAGGAAAUGUAAGUAAGACAUUCCUCCAUGUCCACAUUGUUAAACCUUUCUAGGAACUUCCAAGUCUCAAAAAAAAAGAGAUAGACAGCCAUUAUUAACAUUGUGCAAUCCCAGCCUGGAAUCUCUCAUUUGGCUGUAGGUUUGACUAACUUGUGAAAACCAUAUGAUGGAAUUACAUUGACUCAGAUUUUGCAGCCAGAGCCGAAGGAACGAUGCUCGCCUUUCAUUAAGCUUACAACUGCCUCAGUCCUUUUAUGGACUUUUGAGUGGCAACUUAAUGUUACUAGAAACUCUAUAGCGUGUCAGCCUUCAGGAAGGAGCAGGGUAAACAACACUGUGCCUCUUUAACCAAUCGGGUUGAAGAAUCCUUAAUGAGACAUGUAGAGCUUAAACCAGGAAGUAUUUUCACACAAAUAUAAUCAAUGUAAGAUUAUGUAUAGAAAGCAAAAUAAAAUGAGGGAAGAAAUAUAGGGUUAAGAGAGAGCGAGAUAAGAUAUAGAAAUAUAAAAUAAAGGAAAAAAACUUAAUAUUUAAAAAUCAUCAAUGGUUAAAAUUAGAGAUUGUUAGGCAUUAAUUAAAAUUUACCACACUAUUAAAAAAUUGCUUUUUCUGGUGUGUUUAGUUGGUAACUAGUGGCAAGUACUAUAACUUCAUACCCUCUGUAUACUUGUCUCUUGGCAAGAUGCUGUUUGAUGAAGCUUAAGGAGGAGCAGGCAUCUCUGACAGCUUCCUGAAUUCUGUGUUUUACAGCUCAUGUACUGACACUAGAAGAUACUGCAAGAUUUAUUCCAUAAUAACAAGCAUUUAUUCGAUGGAGGAGCCUUCCAACUGGCUUGGUGCAGGAAACCUUGGAGGGAGCAGCAGAGAGAAUCGUUGCAGAAACAGUGGCCCCUUUUUAUGGCAUUAGCUGCCGUAUUCUGUUCCACAGGUGCCAGUUGCCCAAGUGCCUUUUAUCCGCAUAUGCCCCUUCACAGUGAGCCGUAGAAAUCAUCUGAUUGUAGAAGGUGUCAAAGCUGAGCUCAAUCCAGCCCUCAGCUUGAGGACAGACGUUUAAACAUAAAGCCAGCGACUGGUGAAUAGAAAUCAGGAAACAUUUGAUAUUCCUGGGUCACACACAGCUGAGCUCCAUCUGCUGCCCUGGUCGAGAACAGCUAAGCCAGACCAGCUAUCAAAUUGAGGACUUGCUUUGCCUUAUUCAACCUGAUGAAACAGUAGGGGAGCAUUUCUGUGCCGCAAGAUAUGGGGACUAUGGACGUCCAUGUCCUUUGGAUAAGGAAGGAGCAAUUCAACCUCCAGACCAAAAACAAUUUUGUGCGUUUAUUCUCAGAUUGAUGUCUUCUACCUUGUGCGUUGCAAUUGUUUUUAUUUUAUAGAUGGUUGUAAGGUGCGAAGUAGAUUAAAGAUUUAUGUAGUUAAACUAAUGUAAUGCUUAAAACAGCAGUGUGCCCUGAUGAUAAAGGUGAGAGGGCAAUAUUUAUUUUCUGGUAGGUUGAGUCAUCAGCAAAUGUGAAGUAAAGCAAAGAUGAAAAGUGCAAAGACAAAUUAUAAACACUAGAAAUGUAAAGCACUUAUAAGGAAAAAAGAUAGGUCAACCUUUUGAAUAAAGACUUUCACCAGAAA